rnacentral:rRNA from 1 species
CACGUAGGGGGCGAGCGUUGUCCGGAUUUAUUGGGCGUAAAGAGCUCGUAGGCGGCUCAGUAAGUCAGGUGUGAAAACUCCAGGCUCAACCUGGAGACGCCACCUGAUACUGCUGUGGCUAGAGUCCGGUAGGGGAGCAUGGAAUUCCUGGUGUAGCGGUGAAAUGCGCAGAUAUCAGGAGGAACACCAGUGGCGAAGGCGGUGCUCUGGGCCGGAACUGACGCUGAGGAGCGAAAGCGUGGGGAGCAAACAAG